CAGACCAGUCGAAUUUCCAUUUCAAUAAACAUUUAGGAUAUUAAAUGUACAAUCAUUUUAAAUACCUACUAAAGAGUAUUUAUCCAAUAUUUACUAUCCGAUAAAGUGGCCAUUCGAUCCCUUUUAACCGUUGAAUGUAAACCAGGACGAUAGCGAUUCGACAUACUCAGAAGCAUCGUCGAGGGAUCAGAAUAACAACAAUCCAUCUUUUUGCCCGAAGACUACGGUGGUCGAAGGUACUCGCCGUCCAGCGUCUCCGACAAAAAAAAUAUAAGCAAGUGACGGCGAAAGUGCUGUUCGGCAGCGUGACUUCGAUCAAUGACCUCAAGCAGAAAAAGACUGGGGAGUGGCGUAAGCACUAGCGACAUCUUGUAUGUGAUAAGGGCUAAGGUUGAUCUCGGAAGACAGUUUUGUUGUUCUUAAAAAUAUAUUUUUGUAUUACUCUUAGAUUUAGUUAAAAUACUUAAAUAUUGUAUGUCUUAAAAUCAAUAAAUAAUUGUGU